AACGCACAUUGCGCCCUUUGGUAUUCCGAAGGGCAUGCCUGUUCGAGCGUCAUUAUCACCUCUCAAGCCUGGCUUGUUGUUGGACUCCAGGUCCGGGUUCACCCCCGACCGGUCCCAAAAGUAAUGACGGCGUCCGUGGGACUCUCGGUGCAACGAGCUUUUUAAGCACGCACGGAGUUGAAAGGUCCCCCGGCACGGUCCUAUAACCAUUUUUCUAAGGUUGACCUCGGAUCAGGUAGGAAUACCCGCUGAACUUAA
rnacentral:misc_RNA from 1 species